UUUGUAGUCCCAAGAGAAGAGCCAGCAUGAGCAGUAAAGGAGUCCUGGCCUGGAGGUGCCACCAUGACAUCUGAACUAGCUGCAGAACCUAGGCCCCAGCUGCCACCUCCUCGAUGGGGUCAGACUAGAGGCUUUGCAGCAUGGAGCCUGUUUUUCUUCUUGACAUUUGGACCUUAUGGGACACCAAAGUCCAUGGAGAUGUGAAGUGGACAUAAGCAACUCGCCUGAGGUCACAGCUACCAGGUACAGAGUCUGCUCUGGAAGCCAGAUCUUGUGACCUCAGACCUGAGCUCUCUGCUACCAUGGUAUGUGACUGCCAGCACGUCCUCCCCGUCAUUUCACCUCAGGGUCUGUGAGGAAUGAAAAUGACCUGUGGCCAAGAUGCUUAGGAAGUACAGUCCGCCUGCCGUGUCCACAGGGUCCACUGUGGAGUGGGCAUCAAUCAACUCCAGCUAGAAAAUGUUAAACAAAUUAAAC
rnacentral:lncRNA from 1 species